CCUACGGGAGGCAGCAGUGAGGAAUAUUGGUCAAUGGGCGCGAGCCUGAACCAGCCAAGUAGCGUGAAGGAUGACUGCCCUACGGGUUGUAAACUUCUUUUAUAAAGGAAUAAAGUGAGGCACGUGUGCCUUUUUGUAUGUACUUUAUGAAUAAGGAUCGGCUAACUCCGUGCCAGCAGCCGCGGUAAUACGGGGGAUCCGAGCGUUAGCCGGAUUUAUUGGGUUUAAAGGGAGCGUAGAUGGGUUGUUAAGUCAGUUGUGAAAGUUUGCGGCUCAACCGUAAAAUUGCACUUGAUACUGGCAGGCUGGAGUAUAGUUGAGGUAGGCGGAAUUCGUGGUGUAGCGGUGAAAUGCGUAGAUAUCACGAAGAACUCCGAUUGCGAAGGCAGCUUACUAAACUGAGACUGACAUUGAUGCGCGAAAGUGUGGGUAGCAAACAGGAUUAGAUACCCUGGUAGUC
rnacentral:rRNA from 1 species